rnacentral:rRNA from 1 species
GAUGAACGCUGGCGGCGUGCCUAAUACAUGCAAGUCGAGCGAACGGACGAGAAGCUUGCUUCUCUGAUGUUAGCGGCGGACGGGUGAGUAACACGUGGAUAACCUACCUAUAAGACUGGGAUAACUUCGGGAAACCGGAGCUAAUACCGGAUAAUAUUUUGAACCGCAUGGUUCAAAAGUGAAAGACGGUCUUGCUGUCACUUAUAGAUGGAUCCGCGCUGCAUUAGCUAGUUGGUAAGGUAACGGCUUACCAAGGCAACGAUGCAUAGCCGACCUGAGAGAGUGAUCGGCCACACUGGAACUGGGACACGGUCCAGACUCCUACGGGAGGCAGCAGUAGGGAAUCUUCCGCAAUGGGCGAAAGCCUGACGGAGCAACGCCGCGUGAGUGAUGAAGGUCUUCGGAUCGUAAAACUCUGUUAUUAGGGAAGAACAUAUGUGUAAGUAACUGUGCACAUCUUGACGGUACCUAAUCAGAAAGCCCCGGCUAACUACGUG